ensembl:lncRNA
CCUUGGCCAGUUUUGACCUGCGUGGCUCACACGGCCUUUCCCGUGACCCCAUGCCACUCAGAGACGAGGAGAACGGGUAUCGAUCUUCUGGACGGCACGGUGACGGAUUCCGUGGAGGCCACAUCUCUGACCUUCAACAAUGACUUCAUUGAUGUGUACGUGUGCUGCUGAGGCACGCGGGACGACGGACAGGAAAUGGCCGGGGACACUCACACAGAAAGCACUGAGGCUGGGCAAGGUGACAGUGUCCAAUCUAGGGGACGGUUGUGUCACCGACUUUGCGGGGACAUCCAGUGCUGCACCCAUCCCGGCUGGGAUUCUGGCCCUUGUCUUGGAGAACAAGUAAGCCAAGGGCUACAGUGGAGAGGGUCAAAAGUUUCACGUUCCUCUGAGUGCACAUCACUGAGGAUCUGAAAUGGUCCCUCCACACCAACACCCUGGCGAAGAAGGUGUAACAGUUUCUCUUCAACCUCAGGAGGCUGAGGAAAUUUGGCGUGGCCCCUAAGACUACAGAUGCACCAUUGAGAGCAUUCUGUCGGGCUGUUUCACCACCUGGUACGGCAACUGCAUCGCCCGCAACCGCAGAGCUCUCCAGAGGGGGGUGCAGUCAGCCUAAUGCAUCCUUGGGGGCACACUGCCUGCCCUCCAGGUCAUCUACAGCACCCGGUGUCACAGGCCAAAGAAAUAAUCAAGGAUCUCAGCCACUCGAUCCACGACCUGCUUACCCUGCUACCAUCUAGCAGGUGGAGACAGUACAGGUGCAUCAAAUCUGGGACCGAAAUAAUAAAAAAACAGCUACCACCCAGUACCCUGCCCUGCACCUUAGACACUGUUGCUAGCCGGCUACCACCCAGUACCCUGCCCUGCACCUUAGACCCUGUUGCUAGCCGGCUACCACCCAGUACCCUGCCCUGCACCUUAGACACUGUUGCUAGCCGGCUACCACCCAGUACCCUGCCCUGCACCUUAGACCCUGUUGCUAGCCGGCUACCACCCAGUACCCUGCCCUGCACCUUAGACCCUGUUGCUAGCCGGCUACCACCCGGUACCCUGCCCUGCACCUUAGACACUGUUGCUAGCUGGCUACCACCCGGUACACAACCCUG